rnacentral:rRNA from 1 species
CCUACGGGUGGCAGCAGUGAGGAAUAUUGGUCAAUGGACGAGAGUCUGAACCAGCCAAGUAGCGUGAAGGAUGACUGCCCUAUGGGUUGUAAACUUCUUUUAUAAAGGAAUAAAACGAGGCACGUGUGCCUUUUUGCAUGUACUUUAUGAAUAAGGAUCGGCUAACUCCGUGCCAGCAGCCGCGGUAAUACGGAGGAAUCGAGCUUUAUCCGGAUUUAUUGGGUUUAAAGGGAGCGUAGAUGGGUUGUUAAGUCAGUUGUGAAAUUUUGCGGCUCAACCGUAAAAUUGCAAUUGAUACUGGCAGUCUUGAGUACAGUUGAGGUAGGCGGAAUUCGUGGUGUAGCGGUGAAAUGCUUAGAUAUCACGAAGAACCCCGAUUGCGAAGGCAGCUUACUAAACUGUGACUGACAUUGAUGCUCGAAAGUGUGGGUAUCAAACAGGAUUAGAUACCCCUGUAGUC